GCGGUCCUAGCUGAGUGGUAGAGCGCGUGGCUUUUAACCGCGUGGCCGUGGGUUCGAUCCCCACGGACGGCG
rfam:Triticum urartu cultivar G1812 contig1075845, whole genome shotgun sequence.